CCUACGGGAGGCAGCAGUAAGGAAUAUUGGUCAAUGGACGCAAGUCUGAACCAGCCAUGCCGCGUGAAGGAUGAAGGCCCUCUGGGUUGUAAACUUCUUUUAUCUGGGACGAAAAAAGGGCAUUCUUGCUCACUUGACGGUACCAGAAGAAUAAGCACCGGCUAACUCCGUGCCAGCAGCCGCGGUAAUACGGAGGGUGCAAGCGUUAUCCGGAUUUACUGGGUUUAAAGGGUGCGUAGGUGGGUUGGUAAGUCAGUGGUGAAAUCUCCGAGCUUAACUCGGAAACUGCCAUUGAUACUAUCAAUCUUGAAUACUUUGGAGGUAAGCGGAAUAUGUCAUGUAGCGGUGAAAUGCUUAGAUAUGACAUAGAACACCAAUUGCGAAGGCAGCUUACUACACAGUCAUUGACACUGAGGCACGAAAGCGUGGGGAUCAAACAGGAUUAGAUACCCUGGUAGUCC
rnacentral:rRNA from 1 species